CAGUCGCCGCGGUAAUACAGAGGGUGCAAGCGUUAAUCGGAAUUACUGGGCGUAAAGCGUGCGCAGGCGGUUAUAUAAGACAGAUGUGAAAUCCCCGGGCUCAACCUGGGAACUGCAUUUGUGACUGUAUAGCUAGAGUACGGCAGAGGGGGAUGGAAUUCCGCGUGUAGCAGUGAAAUGCGUAGAUAUGCGGAGGAACACCGAUGGCGAAGGCAAUCCCCUGGGCCUGUACUGACGCUCAUGCACGAAAGCGUGGGGAGCAAACAGGAUUAGAUACCCCCGUAGUCCCUGUCUCUUAUAC
rnacentral:rRNA from 1 species